rnacentral:rRNA from 1 species
UACGGGGGGAGCAAGCGUUGUUCGGAUUUACUGGGCGUAAAGGGCGCGUAGGCGGCGUGACAAGUCACUUGUGAAAUCUCCGGGCUUAACUCGGAGCGGCCAAGUGAUACUGUCGUGCUAGAGUGCGGAAGGGGCAACUGGAAUUCUCGGUGUAGCGGUGAAAUGCGUAGAUAUCAGGAGGAACACCGGUGGCGAAGGCGGCUUUCUGGACAGAUACCGACGCUGAGACGCGAAAGCGUGGGGAGCGAACAGG